CCGUUACUCGUAGAGUAAAAGGGUAUACUAGAUUCGUGCAAAACCGCCUAAUUAGGCCCUUUUACCUUACCUGUUUUUGUCGUGUGUUUGGCGUUUGGCGUUUGGCGGUGUUCAAAAGUUUUCAAAGUUCGGGGAUUUUUCGUGAAUUUCUUGCGGCCCGUAAUUAACGUGGGUUUACCUGAAACGAACGCCCGCGGCAAUAGCAUUAAUAGCGUGACGCCCGUCAUCACAUCUGUCCACCAUCAAAAAGCCCACUGCCGUUUUUGAUUCAACCCAGAGAUCACGUGACAAAAACUAAG